AUUCGUCACACUAUCAUUAACUGAAUCCAUAGGUUAAUGAGGCGAACCGGGGGAACUGAAACAUCUAAGUACCCCGAGGAAAAGAAAUCAACCGAGAUUCCCCCAGUAGCGGCGAGCGAACGGGGAGCAGCCCAGAGCCUGAAUCAGUGUGUGUGUUAGUGGAAGCGUCUGGAAAGGCGCGCGAUACAGGGUGACAGCCCCGUACACAAAAAGCCGG
rnacentral:rRNA from 1 species